rnacentral:rRNA from 1 species
GGAAUAUUGGUCAAUGGCCGGAAGGCUGAACCAGCCAAGUCGCGCGAGAGAACAAGGCCCUACGGGUUGUAAACCUCUUUUGUCGGGGAGCAAAUUCCGCCACGUGUGGCGGAGUCGAGAGUACCCGAAGAAAAAGCAUCGGCUAACACCGUGCCAGCAGCCGAGGUAAUACGGAGGAUGCGAGCGUUAUCCGGAUUUAUUGGGUUUAAAGGGUGCGUAGGCGGACUGUCAAGUCAGCGGUAAAAUACGGGGGCUCAACCUCCGCCCGCCGUUGAAACUGACGGUCUUGAGUGGGCGAGAAGUAUGCGGAAUGCGUGGUGUAGCGGUGAAAUGCAUAGAUAUCACGCAGAACUCCGAUUGCGAAGGCAGCAUACCGGCGCCCAACUGACGCUGAAGCACGAAAGCGUGGGUAUCGAA